CUUUUUGCCAGAUUGCUGUCUAAGUGUAGAUUCAGACUGCAGGAGACGGUGUGAGAGAGCAGCUGCUUACAUAUGGAGACCUGAGCCCAAAUUCGCAAGCACUCUAAAUGUUUAUUUGGAGUGUGCGCUUGGAUUUAUCUGGGGACAUUUGCUUGAAAUGAAACUCAUUUAUAUAAGACAAAUUCAUGAGUUUGAAUGAUGGC
ensembl:lncRNA